AUGAACGCUAGCUACAGGCUUAACACAUGCAAGUCGAGGGGCAGCAUGGUCUUAGCUUGCUAAGGCCGAUGGCGACCGGCGCACGGGUGAGUAACACGUAUCCAACCUGCCGUCUACUCUUGGACAGCCUUCUGAAAGGAAGAUUAAUACAAGAUGGCAUCAUGAGUCCGCAUGUUCACAUGAUUAAAGGUAUUCCGGUAGACGAUGGGGAUGCGUUCCAUUAGAUAGUAGGCGGGGUAACGGCCCACCUAGUCUUCGAUGGAUAGGGGUUCUGAGAGGAAGGUCCCCCACAUUGGAACUGAGACACGGUCCAAACUCCUACGGGAGGCAGCAGUGAGGAAUAUUGGUCAAUGGGCGAGAGCCUGAACCAGCCAAGUAGCGUGAAGGAUGACUGCCCUAUGGGUUGUAAACUUCUUUUAUAAAGGAAUAAAGUCGGGUAUGGAUACCCGUUUGCAUGUACUUUAUGAAUAAGGAUCGGCUAACUCCGUGCCAGCAGCCGCGGUAAUACGGAGGAUCCGAGCGUUAUCCGGAUUUAUUGGGUUUAAAGGGAGCGUAGAUGGAUGUUUAAGUCAGUUGUGAAAGUUUGCGGCUCAACCGUAAAAUUGCAGUUGAUACUGGAUAUCUUGAGUGCAGUUGAGGCAGGCGGAAUUCGUGGUGUAGCGGUGAAAUGCUUAGAUAUCACGAAGAACUCCGAUUGCGAAGGCAGCCUGCUAAGCUGCAACUGACAUUGAGGCUCGAAAGUGUGGGUAUCAAACAGGAUUAGAUACCCUGGUAGUCCACACGGUAAACGAUGAAUACUCGCUGUUUGCGAUAUACUGCAAGCGGCCAAGCGAAAGCGUUAAGUAUUCCACCUGGGGAGUACGCCGGCAACGGUGAAACUCAAAGGAAUUGACGGGGGCCCGCACAAGCGGAGGAACAUGUGGUUUAAUUCGAUGAUACGCGAGGAACCUUACCCGGGCUUAAAUUGCAGAUGAAUUACGGUGAAAGCCGUAAGCCGCAAGGCAUCUGUGAAGGUGCUGCAUGGUUGUCGUCAGCUCGUGCCGUGAGGUGUCGGCUUAAGUGCCAUAACGAGCGCAACCCUUGUUGUCAGUUACUAACAGGUUCCGCUGAGGACUCUGACAAGACUGCCAUCGUAAGAUGUGAGGAAGGUGGGGAUGACGUCAAAUCAGCACGGCCCUUACGUCCGGGGCUACACACGUGUUACAAUGGGGGGUACAGAGGGCCGCUACCACGCGAGUGGAUGCCAAUCCCCAAAACCUCUCUCAGUUCGGACUGGAGUCUGCAACCCGACUCCACGAAGCUGGAUUCGCUAGUAAUCGCGCAUCAGCCACGGCGCGGUGAAUACGUUCCCGGGCCUUGUACACACCGCCCGUCACACCAUGAGAGCCGGGGGGACCCGAAGUCGAUAGUCUAACCGCAAGGAGGACGUCGCCGAAGGUAAAACUGGUGAUUGGGGUG
rnacentral:rRNA from 1 species